CUGCAAUCAAAAUAACCCAUAAAACCCAACCCUAAAUCUCUCUCAACUCUCAAAGUCUACUGCCGCCCUCCCCUCCCCAUUCGGCCUCUACGUCACUCGUCUGGUGCGCCUCCCGCCGAUCGUGCUCCACGCUGUCAACGUCGUUUCUGCGUUCGGUUCCUGCUCUUCUCCGCCGCUUCCUCUGCUCCAGUCUUGCUGUCCGGUGCUGCUCCUCGCCGCGUUCCUCUACUCCACGCUGUCAACGGCGUUCUGCGUCCGGUUCCUGUGUCCGCUUGUCUGCUUGCUUCUUUGCUCUUCUCCGCCGCUUCAUCUGCUCUCGGGAACGCAGCUCCUGCACCAUCGGGUUCACCUGUUUUCUUGUUCGUUGGAGGAGUUUGGGUUCGUAAAAUCAGCUCUCAAACGCGCGAUCGGGUUGUUGCCGGAUAACGCGCUUGUUGGGUUCGUUUCGUUUGGGACGCAGGCGCAGGUUCAUGAAUUGGGAUUUUCAGAUAUGUCCAAGGUUUAUGUGUUUAGAGGCAACAAGGAGAUUUCCAAAGAUCAAAUUAUGGAGCAGUUGGGACUUGGCGUUUCGGGCAGGAGAGCCCCUGUUGGAUACCCACAGAAAGGAAUGCAAAAUGGGUUUCCAAUUCUUGGCAUUACCCGCUUCUUAUUGCCCGCAUCCGAGUGCGAAUAUACCCUCAACUCUCUUUUGGAUGAGUUGCAAACGGAUCAAUGGCAUAAGGAUGCGUUAAAGGUUGAAAUUGAUGAGCACAACCCUGAUAAUUACUUGGUUUCUUUCGUUUUCAAUGCUUUACUUGAUGGGAGCUUGGAAGGAGAGUACAGAAGAGGGAGACAGUUAUUCCUGAUCCAGAUUACAGGAUACCAGUUGUCUUGCUCGGUUUAGCUGGUGGAUUAACUUAUACAAAUAAUCUGGCACCAGCUGUACCUGUUGGUCUCCUUGGAUUGCUCCUUUUAUUUUAGGUACUAAACCUGGAGAAUAUGGACAAAACCAGGCAUUGGAAAAUCGUGGGCUGUAGCGCAUAUACAGGGGAGGGGCUGCUUGAGGGAUUUGAUUGGUUGGUUCAAGACAUGAUGAUACCUUAGGAUCUAGUCAACAUUAAGCAAUAGAGUUAGGUUUUUUUUUAUUGGCCCUCUCAGAGAACUAAUUAAGGUCCAUUUGUACUGUUUUAUUAACUAUCUUAUUGUUGUGGAAUUUAGUCAAGCUUUUUGGGUCAAUAGUAUUAUUGAAACUUUCAAU